GGCGGACUCAACAUGACGCGGAUGGAGGAACUUCGCUUUCUCUGUGAAAACAGGAAAAAAACGCAUUUAGAGUUUGUGUUUCACGCUUUCCCCAAGAGGUGAACAGAGAAGAGUUGUGCACAUCUCGGUAGAAACUACAGGGUACGCAGUGUCCACGUCUCAUCUGGAAAUUAUACUAAUGGAAACUCAGAUUCUAGACUUCUUCCUCAUGCCUCCCCAGACCAAGACCUUAGCUAGAACGUCUACUAUAGACAUGCAAGCCAAGGGUCUGAAAAUGUAGACAUAAACAAGGAACUCUGGCUGCAGAAGGGUGUUUUGGACUUAGUCUCUAUGCGGCACAUAGCGCUGCAUUUUUUUUUUCCAUGUAACGGUUGAAUGGUGGCAGCUAUCUUUCCAUGAUUGUGUGGCAGCGUCACCUAAGGAUACGCGAGGGUGUUGAAUAAACUGGUACAGCAGCCUCUUGUAUCACUUCUCCUGAGGACAGAGUCUACACCGCAAGAGACUUGAUGAUACAAUUCAGCACGUUUUAUUUCAAGGCGGAGGAACUCAUCAAGGUUGAAAAAACUGGUACAGCAGCCUCACGUAUCACAUCCCCUGAGGACAGAUUCUACACACCAAGACACUUGAUGAUACAAUUCAACACGUUGCAUUUCAAGAUGGAGGAGCUAAUCAAGGUUGAAUAAACUGGUACCGCAGCCUCGAGGAUGGCUUCCCCUGAGGACUGAUUUUACAUCCCAAGACACUUGAUGAU